AGAGUUUGAUCAUGGCUCAGAUUGAACGCUGGCGGCAGGCCUAACACAUGCAAGUCGAACGGUAACAGGAAGCAGCUUGCUGCUUUGCUGACGAGUGGCGGACGGGUGAGUAAUGUCUGGGAAACUGCCUGAUGGAGGGGGAUAACUACUGGAAACGGUGGCUAAUACCGCAUAACGUCGCAAGACCAAAGAGGGGGACCUUCGGGCCUCUUGCCAUCAGAUGUGCCCAGAUGGGAUUAGCUUGUUGGUGAGGUAACGGCUCACCAAGGCGACGAUCCCUAGCUGGUCUGAGAGGAUGACCAGCCACACUGGAACUGAGACACGGUCCAGACUCCUACGGGAGGCAGCAGUGGGGAAUAUUGCACAAUGGGCGCAAGCCUGAUGCAGCCAUGCCGCGUGUAUGAAGAAGGCCUUCGGGUUGUAAAGUACUUUCAGCGGGGAGGAAGGUGUUGUGGUUAAUAACCGCAGCAAUUGACGUUACCCGCAGAAGAAGCACCGGCUAACUCCGUGCCAGCAGCCGCGGUAAUACGGAGGGUGCAAGCGUUAAUCGGAAUUACUGGGCGUAAAGCGCACGCAGGCGGUCUGUCAAGUCGGAUGUGAAAUCCCCGGGCUCAACCUGGGAACUGCAUUCGAAACUGGCAGGCUUGAGUCUUGUAGAGGGGGGUAGAAUUCCAGGUGUAGCGGUGAAAUGCGUAGAGAUCUGGAGGAAUACCGGUGGCGAAGGCGGCCCCCUGGACAAAGACUGACGCUCAGGUGCGAAAGCGUGGGGAGCAAACAGGAUUAGAUACCCUGGUAGUCCACGCCGUAAACGAUGUCUACUUGGAGGUUGUGCCCUUGAGGCGUGGCUUCCGGAGCUAACGCGUUAAGUAGACCGCCUGGGGAGUACGGCCGCAAGGUUAAAACUCAAAUGAAUUGACGGGGGCCCGCACAAGCGGUGGAGCAUGUGGUUUAAUUCGAUGCAACGCGAAGAACCUUACCUGGUCUUGACAUCCACGGAAGUUUUCAGAGAUGGAAUGUGCCUUCGGGAACCGUGAGACAGGUGCUGCAUGGCUGUCGUCAGCUCGUGUUGUGAAAUGUUGGGUUAAGUCCCGCAACGAGCGCAACCCUUAUCCUUUGUUGCCAGCGAUUAGGUCGGGAACUCAAAGGAGACUGCCAGUGAUAAACUGGAGGAAGGUGGGGAUGACGUCAAGUCAUCAUGGCCCUUACGACCAGGGCUACACACGUGCUACAAUGGCGCAUACAAAGAGAAGCGACCUCGCGAGAGCAAGCGGACCUCAUAAAGUGCGUCGUAGUCCGGAUUGGAGUCUGCAACUCGACUCCAUGAAGUCGGAAUCGCUAGUAAUCGUGGAUCAGAAUGCCACGGUGAAUACGUUCCCGGGCCUUGUACACACCGCCCGUCACACCAUGGGAGUGGGUUGCAAAAGAAGUAGGUAGCUUAACCUUCGGGAGGGCGCUUACCACUUUGUGAUUCAUGACUGGGGUGAAGUCGUAACAAGGUAACCGUAGGGGAACCUGCGGUUG
rnacentral:rRNA from 3 species